rnacentral:lncRNA from 1 species
GUUCUUCCGCCAGCGCCCAUCGUGAAGACCACAGUUUCCUGUCGCGUGGAUGUGUUUCCUCUCUGGCCAUUGCCAUCCGCCCAAAUCUACAGACAUCCCGCAUGUUCCCGGGCUCGUCUCCCCAAUACAGGGCACCAAGGCUGUAGACUGCGCAGCCCUCCUGGAGACAGAUGGAAGCUCCUUGGGUCGACAGAUUACAGCUUCUGGAACCCCCUACUCCCUUCAACUCCGAGAUGGACACCCACUGUCCAGGGAGAGGAUGCCUGGAAAUAACAGCUGGGAUCUACAGUGGCCAAAGAGUUGUCUCCGUCUUGCUACAUCGACAAACUGGUGCUCCUGACCACUUCGGAAGCGUUUUCCUCUCCACUCUGACAACAGGCAAGAGUGAGGGUCCAACAAUACAGAGGAAGUAACGUGUCGCUGCUACUCUUCCAUGCCCAGUGCCAGGAGCGACGGUACACUCCAGAGUGCUGUGCCCUGAUGGGCCUUUGAGUGGCCAGUGCAGUGGAUCAUCAGCCCUGUCUCCCAAGAGCUCCAGUCCCUUCUCCGGAGAGGAAGUGGGUCCACUGGCAGCUCAGGAGGCCAUAGCAGAUUGUGGGGCUCUGUGCAGUUGAUGUUAGUUAACCACUGGAUCCACGUGUUCACCGUGGCUUGCGCCCCUGCAUCCGAAAGUGAUCUUGGCUGCCGUGUCCUGGUCAUUGGUAGUGCAGGGAAAGGAUGCGGAAAGACGGGCUCCGAGCUCGGGGCGUCUGGCCUGGAGCUUUCCUACACUUGUGUCUUGCUCUGCAGCCUUACGGAAGUGUGGGUGGCGCUUUCUGGAAGCUGCACAAGUCAGUGCUGGGUCUUCGCAACUUGGUGUUCUGUUUCCAGAAACUUGGGGUGUUUGCAUGUGCUAGGUCAGCACAGAUUUCCAAAGGAUCUCUAGGAUUGUCACGUGUGCUCAACAGUCCUCCUCGGCUUUCCAGAAGAGGCUGGAACAGGGCCCUUGAAGAUGUUUGUGGACAUCAGAGGGCCAAAGACGACACAAAGUGAAACUGGAGACACCGCCCCCCCUUGGCAUCAUGAAACUGCCGAUGUUACUGGCUCAUGCAUGGGAGACACCAGCAUACAAAGUCUUGACACCAACACCUCAGAGGGCUGUGUUCUGUCCCCGUGACCAUCAUCUAGUGCCUGGAAAGACUAGUGACAAGAACUUGUUGCCAACUUCCUAUUACCUCCCUAACAGUUGUGCAAUAAACCCCAUAGGUUAAUUC